CUUCAUGAAGGGGUUAUUUUAGUCUGUUCUGCAUGGCAAUAUCAAAACGAGACCUCUCACACUUCUGCAAAAAGUGCUUUAGCAUCGAAACCAGAAGUCGCACUCAGAGCACUGAACAAUUCGACAGAAGAACAAA